rfam:Pristionchus pacificus strain PS312 contig12032, whole genome shotgun sequence.
UCUUCAUUUUACGUGCUCUCUCACCGGACAGAGAGGCGAGAGAGUGUGCAAAAUGAAGAGA